UACGGGGGGAGCAAGCGUUGUUCGGAUUUACUGGGCGUAAAGGGCGCGUAGGCGGUCAGCACAAGUCAGUUGUGAAAUCUCCGAGCUUAACUCGGAAAGGUCAACUGAAACUGUGCGACUAGAGUGCGGAAGGGGCAACUGGAAUUCUUGGUGUAGCGGUGAAAUGCGUAGAUAUCAAGAGGAACACCUGCGGCGAAGGCGGGUUGCUGGGCCGACACUGACGCUGAAGCGCGAAAGCUAGGGGAGCAAACGGG
rnacentral:rRNA from 1 species